UGAGAGGCAUUUUUACGUGGCUGCCCCUGUACGAAUAAGCCACCGCCGCUGUAAAAACAGAAAGGGCUUUUCACCUCCCGCGUCCUCAAAUCCGAGCGGCAAAAUUUCUCUCCCAAAACCAUCUUCCCUCUUCUCUCCCCAAAUCGUCUCAUCCCCAAAUCGUGCACACGCCAAUAUUUCUCUCCCAAAACCCUUCUUCCCUCUUCUCUUCCAAAUCGCCCCAUCCCCAAAUCCCGAAAGUCUCUCUCUCUCCAACGACCCUCCACUCCUCAAUCGAUUGUUCCUCUCUUGCUCUCGGUCUCGAUUUUCCUCUCUCUCUCUCUAUCUCUUUCAUUGAAGAUGGUCGGUUUGUCGUCCACGCCGACAUCGACGCUGAUAGAGGUGAGUUUGGGGAUGAUCAGAUCUCUGAGUUCAAGGAGGCAUUUGGCAUGGGAAGUUGAAUGAAGCAUAAAUGAUGUUUGACGAAAUGCGUAAGAGAGGGAUAAGUGCCGCUAAUGCAAUAUUUGCUGCUUUGGUUUAUGGAGGGGAUAAGAUAGCUUGAUGUGAGUGUUUACCAUGGGCUGAUCAAGGGUUUGUUGAAGCUUAGGAAGGGAAAGGAAGACACUCAAGUGUUUAGAAUAGCACUUGUUUAGCCUAUGUUACUCUAUCCAUGUCGUGUCUCAUAGGUUUUGGCUCUUUCAUGAAUUUAGUAUUUUGAUGCUACACCAGUAUAUCUUGUCCUGAUUUUAUUAUUGUUCAAUUUCUAUAGGCUGAGACUCAACAAUACGGGGCUGAAGAGCUAUAAAGCAUUAAACAAAUACGGUGUCUGCUUAUUAUCCACUUGCCUGCUCCUUGCACUGGAGGGGCGCAUGGGGAAGAAUUUCCAAUCCGCUAAAGUUGCUGCAAAUCUUUAGUCGCGGUUCUGGCUCUUAUGCAGCGGUUGC